rnacentral:rRNA from 1 species
UACGUAGGGUGCAAGCGUUGUCCGGAAUUAUUGGGCGUAAAGAGCUCGUAGGCGGUCUGUCGCGUCUGCUGUGAAAACUCAGGGCUUAACCCUGAGCUUGCAGUGGGUACGGGCAGACUAGAGUGCGGUAGGGGAGACUGGAAUUCCUGGUGUAGCGGUGAAAUGCGCAGAGUAUCAGGAGGAACACCGGUGGCGGAAGGCGGGUCU